GUUUACAGCCAUGCCACCCUCAACAAGACUGAUCUUGUCUGAUCUCAGAAGCUAAGCAGGGUUGGGCCUGGUUAGUUCUUGGAUGGGAUACCACCUAGGAAGAUCAGAUGCUGUAGGCA
rnacentral:rRNA from 1 species